rnacentral:sRNA from 1 species
AUAAUCUUAUUUUCAAAAAUUAUUUUGUUCACUGCCAAAAACAUAUAGCUAGUUCAUAAUUACAGUAAUUGUUAAUCUGAUCAAAUCCAAAGACGUCCCCUCCCGGGAACCUGUGGGUCAGUGAAGGAGCAGUCUCUGUCCUGCCAUUGGUCAGAUUCCUGGGCUAAUCAGGGGGUGUUACUUGUGCUAUCACCAUUAUGUAUAAAACAGUGUAUAUUGUUCGUGGUUUUUUCCCUUGAUUUCUCUCUUUCCUUUUUUUUUAAUGUUAAAGUUUUUCAAUUUGAUUAUUUUUUUCGGUGAAUCUCUAAUUAAAAAAUAUUAAAAUUCCGUGGAACUUUUUAUAAGGAGGAUAACUGUUACUAACAACAUUAACAUAAAUUCCAUCAAUGCAGUUAGAUUUAAUCAACGUCUGUAAAAUUAAUGAUUUUUUUUUUUCCAUUUUCUACAUUUUUAUAGCUGUCCAGGGAAUUUCAAAAAAUAUUAAAGCAUCAAAACAACGUUCAACGUUCAUUAAUUUGUUUUUAUUUCUGUUAUUUUUUAUUGAAAUAUUUUUUGUUGAUGUAUCUACGCAAAAAAUGCAUAAAAUUCCGUGCUACUUGCUGAACAAACUUCAUUUUUUGUUUUAUUAGUUUUUUACGUGCUGUUAGUUGAUUUUAUGUACGUGAAUAUACAUUUUGUUUAUUUUACAUGUAUAUACUAUUUUUUUGUUUAUUUACAAACCUGCUGUUUGUUUAUUUUGGGAAAUGAGUCUGAUGUUUUAUUUCCAUGCUUCUAUUUUAAUUUACAAAUUGAUGUUUAUGUUGUAAAUUGUUAAGAUAAAUGUAAAGAUUGUUAUAAUGAAA